UACAGAGGGGGCAAGCGUUGUUCGGAAUUACUGGGCGUAAAGGGCGCGUAGGCGGCCUGUUAAGUCGAACGUGAAAUCCCCGGGCUCAACCCGGGAACUGCGUCCGAUACUGGUAGGCUUGAAUCCGGGAGAGGGAUGCGGAAUUCCAGGUGUAGCGGUGAAAUGCGUAGAUAUCUGGAGGAACACCGGUGGCGAAGGCGGCAUCCUGGACCGGCAUUGACGCUGAGGCGCGAAAGCCAGGGGAGCAAACGGG
rnacentral:rRNA from 1 species